rnacentral:rRNA from 1 species
AACGAACGCUGGCGGCAUGCCUAACACAUGCAAGUCGAACGAAGGCUUCGGCCUUAGUGGCGCACGGGUGCGUAACGCGUGGGAAUCUGCCCUUUGGUUCGGAAUAACAGCUGGAAACGGCUGCUAAUACCGGAUGAUGACGAAAGUCCAAAGAUUUAUCGCCAGAGGAUGAGCCCGCGUUGGAUUAGGUAGUUGGUGGGGUAAAGGCCUACCAAGCCGACGAUCCAUAGCUGGUCUGAGAGGAUGAUCAGCCUCACUGGGACUGAGACACGGCCCAGACUCCUACGGGAAGCAGCAGUGGGGAAUAUUGGACAAUGGGCGCAAGCCUGAUCCAGCAAUGCCGCGUGAGUGAUGAAGGCCCUAGGGUUGUAAAGCUCUUUUACCCGGGAAGAUAAUGACUGUACCGGGAGAAUAAGCCCCGGCUAACUCCGUG